UACGUAGGGGGCAAGCGUUGUCCGGAUUUAUUGGGCGUAAAGAGCGUGUAGGCGGUUUGGUAGGUCCGUUGUGAAAACUCGAGGCUCAACCUCGAGACGCCGGCGGAAACCAUCAGGCUAGAGUCCGGAAGAGGAGAGUGGAAUUCCUGGUGUAGCGGUGAAAUGCGCAGAUAUCAGGAAGAACACCCGUGGCUAAGGCGGCUCUCUAGUACGGUACUGACGCUGAGACGCGAAAGCGUGGGGAGCGAUCCGG
rnacentral:rRNA from 1 species